rnacentral:rRNA from 1 species
AGAGUUUGAUCAUGGCUCAGAUUGAACGCCGGCGGCAGGCUUAACACAUGCAAGUCGAGCGGGGUGAUGGUGCUUGCACUAUCACUUAGCGGCGGACGGGUGAGUAAUGCUUAGGAAUCUGCCUAUUAGUGGGGGACAACAUCUCGAAAGGGAUGCUAAUACCGCAUACGUCCUACGGGAGAAAGCAGGGGAUCACUUGUGACCUUGCGCUAAUAGAUGAGCCUAAGUCGGAUUAGCUAGUUGGUGGGGUAAAGGCCUACCAAGGCGACGAUCUGUAGCGGGUCUGAGAGGAUGAUCCGCCACACUGGGACUGAGACACGGCCCAGACUCCUACGGGAGGCAGCAGUGGGGAAUAUUGGACAAUGGGGGGAACCCUGAUCCAGCCAUGCCGCGUGUGUGAAGAAGGCCUUAUGGUUGUAAAGCACUUUAAGCGAGGAGGAGGCUCUUUUGGUUAAUACCCAAGAUGAGUGGACGUUACUCGCAGAAUAAGCACCGGCUAACUCUGUGCCAGCAGCCGCGGUAAUACAGAGGGUGCAAGCGUUAAUCGGAUUUACUGGGCGUAAAGCGCGCGUAGGCGGCCAAUUAAGUCAAAUGUGAAAUCCCCGAGCUUAACUUGGGAAUUGCAUUCGAUACUGGUUGGCUAGAGUGUGGGAGAGGAUGGUAGAAUUCCAGGUGUAGCGGUGAAAUGCGUAGAGAUCUGGAGGAAUACCGAUGGCGAAGGCAGCCAUCUGGCCUAACACUGACGCUGAGGUGCGAAAGCAU